rnacentral:rRNA from 1 species
AGAAUCAACGCUGGCGGCGUGCCUAACACAUGCAAGUCGAACGAGAAAGGGAGCAAUCCCUGAGUACAGUGGCGACCGGGUGAGUAACACGUGACUAACCUACCCUCGAGUGCGGAAUAACAUCGGGAACCGAUGCUAAUACCGCAUAACAUCGCAAGAUCAAAGGAGUAAUCCGCUUGAGGAGGGGUCGCGGCUGAUUAGCUAGUUGGCGGGGUAAUGGCCCACCAAGGCGAAGAUCGGUA